AGUGAACGCUGGCGGUAGGCCUAACACAUGCAAGUCGAACGGCAGCACAGUAAGAGCUUGCUCUUACGGGUGGCGAGUGGCGGACGGGUGAGGAAUACAUCGGAAUCUACUUUUUCGUGGGGGAUAACGUAGGGAAACUUACGCUAAUACCGCAUACGACCUACGGGUGAAAGCAGGGGAUCUUCGGACCUUGCGCGAUUGAAUGAGCCGAUGUCGGAUUAGCUAGUUGGCGGGGUAAAGGCCCACCAAGGCGACGAUCCGUAGCUGGUCUGAGAGGAUGAUCAGCCACACUGGAACUGAGACACGGUCCAGACUCCUACGGGAGGCAGCAGUGGGGAAUAUUGGACAAUGGGCGCAAGCCUGGUCCAGCCAUGCCGCGUGGGUGAAGAAGGCCUUCGGGUUGUAAAGCCCUUUUGUUGGGAAAGAAAAGCAGCAGGUUAAUACCCCGCUGUUCUGACGGUACCCAAAGAAUAAGCACCGGCUAACUUCGUG
rnacentral:rRNA from 1 species